UACGAGGGGGCCGAGCGUUGGUUCGGAAUUAUUGGGCGUAAAGGGUGCGUAGGCGGUUCGGUAAGUCUUGUGUGAAAUCUUCGGGCUCAACUCGAAGUCUGCACGAGAAACUGCCGGGCUUGAGUGUGGGAGAGGUGAGUGGAAUUUCCGGUGUAGCGGUGAAAUGCGUAGAUAUCUGGAGGAACACCGGUGGCGAAGGCGGCAUCCUGGACCGGCAUUGAACGGCUGAGGCGCGAAAAGCUAGGGGAGCAAACGGG
rnacentral:rRNA from 1 species